rnacentral:tRNA from 1 species
CCUGGUGGCUCAGAGGUUAAAGCAUCUGCCUGCAAUGCAGGAGUGCUGGGUUUGAUCCCUGGGUCAGGA